AUGGUCCUGGAUGCCUUUGCGUCCUACGUGCUACACAUGCUGACGGAGAUGGCGAGCAAAGAGGUGCACAUGCUGCUUGGAUUCAGACGCGAGAUCGACAAGAUGGACAUUAAGCUUAGGGACCUCAAGAACUUCCUCGCCGACGCUGACAGGAGAAACAUCACCGACAAGAGCGUGCAAGAGUGGGUGGCCCAGCUCAAGCGUGCCAUGUAUGAAGCUGCUGACAUCCUCGACAUCUGCCAGCUCAAGGCCAUGGAGCGCGGUAUGUCCACUGCAGAUGUGGGCUGCUUCAACCCCUUGCUCUUCUGCAUGCGGAAUCCCUCCCAUGCCCACGACAUCGGCACCCGCAUCAAGGCACUCAACAAGUGGCUCGACGUCAUCAAGGAGCGAAGCGCUGCUUUCAACUUCAUACCUCUUGGUUCCUAUGAGGAUUGCAGCAGCAAGGUCCAUGGCUCUCCUUCUGGCAAUAAGAGACGUGAGACGUCAGGGGAGUUUGAUAGGUCCGGUGUAGUCGGAGAGAAGAUCAAACAAGACACGAGAAAGCUAGUUGAGAUCAUGCUGAGUGAAACGGAGAGCAACACCAACAUCAUGGUAGUCGCCGUUGUUGGGGUUGGUGGAAUCGGCAAGACCACUCUUGCCCAAAAGGUCUUCAACGACGAAGCCUUGAAUGCCGAGUUCGAGAAGAUGAUAUGGUUGAGCGUCAACAAGGACUUCGACAAGGUUGAGUUGCUCAGGACAAUCAUCAUACAAGCCGGAGGAGAACAUGGUGGUGAAAAGGCAUUGGCUGUGCUUCAGCCAAUCCUUGCCACUACCUUGAAAGGGAAGAAGCUAUUCCUGGUGCUAGAUGAUGUUUGGGACCAUGGAGCAUGGGAUGAUGUGCUUAAAACACCCCUGGCUAAUGUUGUGGCUCAAGGUAGUCGAGUCCUCGUCACUACUAGAGAUGAAACACUAGCUCGUAGGAUGAAAGUUGUGCUUCCCUACCACCAUGUGGACAAAUUAGAGGAGGAGGAUGCCUGGUCAUUGCUCAAGAAACAGAUAAUCUCAAGUCAUACAGAUGAACGUGAAAUUGAUAUGCUCAAGGAUAUUGGAGUGCAAAUUUUAGCAAAAUGUGAUGGUUUGCCUCUUGCUGUCAAAGUAAUGGGAGGGCUCUUGUGUCAGAAGGACAAAAUACACCUGUUCUUUAGAGAUGAAAUCAUUGGCAUGUGGAUCAGUGAAGGAUUUCUUCAUGGGACAUUGGACGAUUUAGAAGAACUAGGAAGCAAGUACUAUAAGGAGUUGAUACUAAGGAAUCUUAUUGAGCCAGAUGCAGAGUUUAUUGAUCAAUCGGUCUGCAACAUGCAUGAUGUUGUUCGCUCAUUUGCUCAAUUUGUGGCUAGAGAUGAGGCACUAGCAGCUCAUAGUGGAGAAACUAACAUUGUUAGUAAACUUAGUGCACAGAAGCUUCUUCGGUUUUCUCUAGAAGAAAAAGCAUUGGAAUCAGAUGUGUUGGACUGGAGUUCUUUGCAAGCACAAAAGACAUUAAGGACACUAAUAUUAGUUGGCCAUAUAAAUAUCAAGCCUCGUGAUUCGUUGGUUCAUUUUCCAUGUCUACGGACUUUACAUAUAGCUUUUUCACAUGUUGUAGCCUUGCUUGAAUCUUUGCAUGAGCUCAAGCACCUGAGGUACUUAUCCUUAGAACACACUGAUAUAUCUAUUCUGCCGGAUAGCAUUGGAAAGAUGAAAUUCUUGCAAUACAUUAGUCUUAGAGGAUGUCAUCAAUUUGUGGACCUUCCACGUAGCAUUGUAAAGUUAGGGCAGCUAAGGCACCUUAACUUCAGUGGAACGAGUAUAAACAACAUACCUAGAGGAUUUUGUGUUCUAACAAAUUUGAGGGCAUUAAGAGGGUUUCCCGCCCGAGUGGAUGGUGAUUGGUGCAGUUUGGAAGAGCUGGGACCUCUUUCUUUUCUCGAGGAUCUUGAAUUUGACGGAUUGGAGAAUAUAACGGAUUCCUCAUCUGCAGCAAAGGCAAAGCUUGGCGACAAGGUGCAUCUUACUAGUCUAUUCUUAAAUUGUGGUAGUAUAUUGGAAGAUGAUGGGCUGAUUAAAGAGGAAGAUUGUGUCUCUGAGGAAAAGCAACAACAAAUCGAGAAGGUGUUUGAGGAGCUCUGCCCUCCACCCAGGUUAGAAAAUCUUGACAUCAAAGGGUAUUUUGGUCGAUGGCUCCCAAGGUGGAUGAUGUCAUCGUCGGCUGUGGCCCUCAAGAGCUUGAGGAUUCUGUUCAUUACUGACCUAGCUUGCUGCAAACAGCUUCCUGAUGGAUUGUGCCAGCUCCCAUAUUUGGAGUUCAUUCAGAUCAACCGUGCUCCAGCCAUCAAGCGUGUUGGACCUGAAUUCACGCAGUCCUACCAUCAACAUAGUCCUCGUCCUUCCCAGAUGGUGGCUGCAUUUCCGAGAUUGGAAAAGAUUAAAUUAAUAGGAAUGGUGGAAUGGGAGGAGUGGGAGUGGGAGGAGCAAGUGCAAGCCUUUCCUGUCUUGCAGGAACUUAUGCUAAAGCAAUGCAAGUUGAAGUGUCUUCCUCCCGGGCUUGCCUCCCAGGCAAGGGCUUUGAAUACGUUAUACAUAUACAAUGUCCAGGGUCUCAUCUCUCUAGAGAACUUUCCAUCUCUGGUCCUGCUGGAACUGGAUGAAAACCUUGACCUGGAGAGGAUCACUAAUCUUCCCAGACUGCAGGAGCUUACCAUCCUAAACUGCACAAAGCUAAAGGUGUUGGAAGGUGUUCCUGCGCUCCAUAGGCUCGUUCUUUCAUAUAACGACAUGGAAACAAUCCCAGAAUACAUGAAAGGUAUAAACCCAAGGCAUUUGGAGCUAUACUGCAGCCUAGCACUGCUCGUUUCCAUAGCUGCGGGACAAUCUGGCUCUGAGUGGGACAAGUUCGGCCAUGUUGAGCAUGUCAAGGCAUAUGCACGCGAAGGAGGUAAUUCAAGGAAAUGGUAUGUCUUCUACACAGCUAAGCCAUAUAGCUUGGAGACAAAUGUCAGCCACUCUUUCAUGCUCAAAGGCAGGAACCUUGACUUCUUUUGA
rnacentral:rRNA from 1 species